AACAUUUUCAAGGUUCAGUCACAUUGUGGAAUUCAUCAGUUUGAUAGUUAACUGUUGUGUCAACUUGAGUUGCCCAACUGAUCCGCUUAACAUAGUUCUGAGUGUGACUGAAUGGAUUUACUGAAGAUGAAAGACCCACCAUAGGUGUGAGUAGCACCAACCAAUAGGCUUAUACCUGAGUGGAAUAAAAAAGGGAAAGAAGGACAGCUCACUUCUGUUUCAUUGGGGAAGCUCCAGUUUUUGCCUUUGGACAUCAUCUCCUGGUUUCCAGUACAGACUCUUCAGCCUUGCAGUGCAGACUCUGGCUUCCUGAUAUGGACUGGCAUGGGACUCUACAGUGAGCACCAGGCCUUCAACCUUUGACAGUCCUUUUGUACUCUUCCACACUUGACUCCACGGGCAGCCGUUAUGGGGAGUCUGGCAUGGCUCAGCUGAAUCUUUUGCUGAGCACAAGGCUGAAACCAGUCUUUGCUGGUCUGAGUUUCUGACUUCAGGAAACAUCUGGGGCCCUCUUCUGAAAAGCUUUCCUCAUAAAUACAGGGUUACCCUUACAACUAACUAAGCCAAUGUUUUAAAGACUUAAUUAAUCUGCAAAACCUCUUCGCCUUGCCCUACUCUCAAACUCAAUAUUCUAUUACCUUUGCCAUAUUCUAGUGUUUAGAAGCAAGCCACAGGUCCUACCAAAACUCAAGGGGAAGGAAUUACACAAGAGCACAGUGCAUCAUCUGUGACUUCUGCCUACCACAAUGCUUGUAGGUCAAUUUCAUUUUUAUCCUCAGGUUCUCCGUCUGUAAGAUAAUAUGCCGAACUAGAAGAUUUCUAAAUUCUUUUUAAACUCUAAGCUGGAUGAUGAUCAUUAGUACUAACAUUAAUAUUAUUCUUGUUAAUUUACAUUAAUGUCAAUAAUAUUAAUGAAACCACACAUUAACUGACCUCUGUAGAAUGUUACUUAGUAUAUGCCAAGGAAUGCUCUAAGCAUUUUACAGGAAUUGUCUCUUUUCAUCCUCACAGUAGUUCAAGAGAUAGAAUGUGUUUUCAUCCUAAAUUCCUCUAGAAAAUGAAAACAUUUUCUGCAUCUAUACUGUCCAAUGUGGGAGUUACUAGGCACAUAUGACUAUUUAAGUUACAAUUAAAUUAAAUUAAAUUAAAACUUCAGUUCCUCAGUCAAGCAGGAAGUACAAUGAAGCAACAUCAUUAUAGAGGUUAAGUAGCAUAUCUAAGAUUACAUGUGGAUCAUACAUGAUUCUCAGACUGAGUUUUUGGACUAGUGCUGAAUUUCAUGCAUGAACCCAGUUGUCGAAAGAGAAAGAACUUAAGAGAGGAAGAAACAUUAAGUUCUUUCCAUGUAAAGCUCUGUAGUGUUUCAAAAAAGUCAGAGGUAGCCACCAGCAAAUGACCUCAAGUGAGCAGACAUUUAAUGAGAUCACGUUAGCGCCAGGCACUGUUUCACUUUGUGUUACCAGGGACACAGUGAUGAGUGUCUCCAGAGAGCUGUAGUUUUCUAUGGGAAGCUGGACACAUAUACUUAUUACAAAGCAGCAAAAAACUGAUAUCCUAAAAGAGAUUCAAGCAACCAGUCUGAGGGCCGUAAGAACCCAACCAGGGGUGUCCCUACAAUACACACAUCAAUGUCUUGUUGUUCUGGUCAUUUAAACACUCCUUGGUCCUUCGAACAGUCCUAGACAAUGUGAACAGUGCCAGGAAAAAACAUACAAACUGUUGUUGCAGGACCCUGCUUUGACAUUGGCUGACAUCUAGUUAACCUCACAAUAAUAAAGCCACAUAGACACACAGUGCGGAAGCAGCUAACAGUCUCAAUGAAAAAUUAGGUUUUCCAUUUCUAACUUUCAGGGGUUAUUCAAAGUGUGAGAGAAGUGAGGGGAGUGGGGGAAAGACAUUCACGAAAAUUGAUGAGGAGCAUUUGGGCUGGAGCCUUUUGGAAUCUGCUCCCAGGCUGGCCCAGCCUGCCCCUGGUGCCUUUGAAGUGAGUUACCUGGAUGGUGAGCUAAGCCAUGCCUGGCAGAACAGGCAGGAGGCUGUGUGGUCUGGCAAAGAACUGAGUAGAGGGAAGAGGGACUGAGCCUAAGUCUGCGGCUGACUCACAACACUUCUCAUGCCAGCAUUUCACCAUGUGGUCCAGCUAGAAAAUUAGAAGAAGCCCAAGUUAGGAUCACACCAAGAAAUCCAAAUGUCCUUCAGGGGCAUAAACAAGGCAGCCCUCCUGCUCUCUUAGGCCUCUUUCUCUGUGUGCGUUCCUCUUUUAGCCUUGAGACUAUUUGUCUUCUUCCUUUCCUCAUGAGUGCUCUUCAGGGCUUGAGUUUGGUCUCUGCCAUUUGUCACUGUGGCCAGGUACAAGUGGUCAGAGUGCAUAGGGCCCUACCGUCUGCUACUCCAGGCUGUCUUUUACCUUUCCUUUUAAGUUCAAGUGAAAUCUGGGUUUCUGCUGUGUUUGGAGUGGUGUGUCUGAGUGGGCCUUUACCGCUCUUCCUUGACAACAAAAAAGUCAGGGGAAGAGAGAAGAAUAAAAAAUGCUUUUGAUCUGGCAAGGGCCUUGCAAGGGCUCUAGUUCUGUCUGUUGCUGGAGCAACAGCGGGGAUUUUUAAAAAAUAGGUACUUUUGGUACAGGAAUAAAGAACAACAACAACAACAACAACAAAUCACCCCUUUAAAGUGAGUACUUUUCUCUGGCCUUGGAUUCUAUCCCCCUCACCCCCAGGUUCUCAGGCCAGACUUCUCCCACUUUUCUACCAUUGUAUCCUUCCUAUUGACUCAGGAAAAAAGGUUCAUUUUCCUCCUUCUGUGAUCUUCCUCUCCUUCUUUGUUUGGGGUGCAUUUCUUUUAAUUCCAUUAUCAGAGGAAGAACCUUGGUCCAUGGUGAGGUCUUCCUGAAAACAUAAUGGGCAGGAGUCAUAGAGACAGGACUUGGACCAGAGUGUCUUCACCAAUUGGCUGAGUGACCUUGAUGAGUUACUGUUUUGAGCCUUAGUUUCAUUCAUGUGUCAAAUGAAAAUAAUUUCAUCUACUGCAUGAGUCACUUUCCCAUUGCUAGAACAAAAUACCAGCUACCUAAAACUUAAAAGAGAAAUUUAUUUGGGUUAUAGUUUCCAGUGGGUUCAAUCCAAGGUCAUCUGGCUCCAAGGCAGAAAGAGUAUGGUGGAAGGGCCUGGCAGAGAACAGGUGCUCAACCUGUGGCAGCUAGGAAACAGAGACAAGGGAGGAGCCAGGAACAAGAAUAUGCUCUUCCAAGUCAUGCCAUCUGUGACCCACCUACAACCAUAUCCCACCUCUUAGAACAACUACUGAACUCAUCAAUGGACAAAUCCACUGAUGAGCCUAGUGCUCCGGUGAUCCAAAUACCUUCCCAACACAUGAGACUUUGGGGGUACAUUUUGGAUCUAAACCUCCUGUACAGGUUUGGAGUGAUCAGGAAAGAGAACAAUAUAAAUCAAAUUAUUAGCAUAUUGAUCAGUAAAUGGACAUGGGCUUCUGAUCUGGAGUUCCAAUUCUUCCUAUGCAUCUUAGAGACCUGCGAGCAUGCCAUUAAAGUUACCCUUGGCUUCUCUUAAUGCAUUCAUUUUCCCCUUCUGUAUCAGAUAUGUAUCAGACAUAUUAAUGAUUGCCUGUCCUGCCACUGUUUAUGGGUAAUGAGUCUCAGUGUCUUGAACCCUCCUUGCCAUUUGCAGUGAUGGUUCAGUGUUGGACACGUGAUCCCAUGAGGUUCUACCCGUGGGUGAAGCUGGGCCAAUUAGAUUCUCUCUUUCACAAGUGGAAAUAAAAGGCACAGAAGAAAGGACCACUUGGGAUGGUUGUGGGCAUUGAGAAUCUUUAGGAGGCUGGCAUAUUGGGACAAGAACAAGAUGAACAAAUAUUCAGUAGCAAGCAAGGAGGAUGGGACCUAAUAACCUGGAGCUCAGUGAGAUUGGCCGUGGUUCAGAAAAGCUUUGGCCCACAACACCUUCUUCAUGAUCCUGAGACAUUCCUGGCCUGGCUCCCUUUCAAAAACCCCUCUCUGCACUUGAGCUAGCUAGAGAUUGUUUCUGUUCUUUGCGCUGGAAAGAGCCUUUAUUAGAACAUUUUCAUGGACCAUCUGAUUUUGAGUGCUGCCAGGCUAUCAUGAAAAGCCUCUUCAUCUCCCACCUUGAAGAGUAUUAGGACACAAAAUCUUCAUGGGAUGUUGACUCUGUAGAAUGCUACCUGAAAAGAAUCCACUCUCUUGUCAAGUUUCAUGCUAGAUACUUUUCAUGAUUAGAAAAUUCCAAUGGUGUCAGACAUUUUUCUCCUUUUGCUCAGUUUGAACUCUUUCCAUUGUUCUUUUUGUUUUCUCAGGGAGCUUUGUAGCUCCAUCUUCUUUCUCUAAGUUGAUUGAGUUCUAGGAUAUCAGAGAUCUUUUCUCCUGCUCCUAAAGAUUCUGAGUGUUUUAAGGCAGAAUCCCCGGAGACCUCCACAAUUUGAUUGGAAAGCUUUAAACCAUAUCUUGCUUUUCAGAGACGACUGUCAUUUUGGGUUUCUCCUCCAUCCUUUUGAGAAUUCACUAUGCAGUCACAGACAUCAUCUCUUGGUACAUGACACAAUACCUGGCUGGUGAAGUGAGCCAUUCUAUCCACCUAGAGACAGAAGCCCAGAGAAAGGCUGGCUGGCAGUAUGAGUGUCAGAGGCAAGUCAGCUUUGGAAACCUGGGGAGAAUUCCACCUUUCUCCACUAUGCCAGGCUCACUGCCAAGCUGCUGCUAGAGACCCAAGCUCUGGGUAGAGCUCAUUUCAGCAUGAGUCAGAAACAUGAGGGAGUCUUGUUCACACAUGCCUAGCAAGGGAAAAGCCCCAAGGGAGGUGCUUCCAGGGUCCCAAUCAGGGACUUGGGAGAUCUUUUCUCCUCUCUAGGAGGAGAGAGAGUCUACCAACUGGCAGGGUAUGCUAUCUCCAGGCUAUCUGCAGGAGAAAGGAUUUAGAGAUGUUCUGAGACCCUCUUUCCAUGGCCAUAGUCAGUCUCCACAGAGUACAGGCUAGGGAGCAUUCAUAACAGGGGAAAAACAUUCCUCUAGACCUUUAGCAGCAGAUUGGCUAAGACAACACUUCCACCAUUGGAAUUUUUCUGUGAGGUUACCUUAGAAGGCAGAAAGAGUAAUCUGAGCCACUUAUUUGAUAUCUUUUAGCACCUAUGGAGUCAACUUUGUAUACAAACCAAUACUUUCAGUGGUUCCUUAACUCAAAUUUCCUCUCCCAGGAUUUCAGUGGAGGAAGAACUUGGAAUGGGCAAGAUAACCUGAAAAGCCAAAGCUCUUUGAUAUUUUGUGAAUUUUGUGCAUCCCCAUCUCCCUGUCCUUUGAGUCAGAGACCACAUUCUUGAGUGAGAACAGGGUCCAGGCAGAUGAUGAAAGGCCUGAAAAGAGCCUGCUAAUUCUUUUUUUUUUGGUACCGGGGAUCAAACUCGGGUCCUUGCACUUGCACAGCAGGCGGUGGAACCACUGAGCUAAAUCCCCAGCCAAGAGCCUGCUGAUUCUUAGAUCCUCAGCCCUGGAUAAUUUUCAGAUGACUAAAUGAAAAUAAAAAAAUUCACAAUGGAUCAAGAUUCAUGUUCAUGAAGAGAGCACCUAUGUGGGCCUAGGUAAGAGAAACUCUGUUGGGAACCUCAAGGUAGAUGCCUUGAUCGUGGGGAAGCCAGGUAAAAUCUAGGGAGUCUAGUUAAAUUUGAGUUUCAGAUAAAUAACAAAUUUUAGUAUAUGUGAGUUCCAUUCAAUAGUUAAGACAUACUUACAUUACAAUUAUUUAUUGUUCAAAUUUAACUGGAUUUGCUGGCUCUGGCAACUCUGCCUGGGGCAGGCAUUGUGCCUGGCAUCUUCGGGUUUGUGUGGAGGUUGUAUGUCAUAUCAUUGCAUGGAACAAGCCUGGUACCUAAACAAACAGAAUGUGUAUGUCAACAUGUACCUGCAUCUUAAGAGGAAGAGAUCGUCACAGUGUUUUAAAGUUUUGUUUCUUGAAUGAUUCCACAAUUAUGAACUUUCUAUUUCCAAACAUUUCUCAAGUCUGUGGCAAUUGUUGGAGAAUUCCAAAGGUCAUUUAGAAAAAUGUGCUAGCCGGGAUUCUUAGAGUAGUAUGUAGAGCUUUCCCCCCCUUUUCUGUCGUUAUUUAGGACUGUUCUCAUUGUACUCAUUUGUCUCCUCUUUGAUGAGCCAAAGAGGAGGUAAAAAAUGAAGACAGAAGCUGUAGGAGCUUAGGCGUGGAUGGAGCAAAAGAAAUCAAAUCUUAGAAGUUUCAGGAGGCACGAGGGGUGCCACCAAUAAUUUUGUGGGUGCGGUGUACGGAGGAUCUGGGCUGGGACUCAAGGAAGCCUGGUGGUAUUCAGACAGUCCUGCAGGCCUGUGGAAGGAAGACUGGAGCAGCUGGUUAUGGGCUGUGCUAAGGGUGUGGCACGGGCAGGAGGGCUUUUAGGCCUGGGCUAAAUCCUGCAGGAGGGAGGGGGACAGGGCAGCAUUACAGGUUGCAAUGAAGUCCAACGGAUUGCCCAGAACUCUUUGGUUGCCCUGGAAGGGAGGUGUCCGGAUCUUUCUGUUCAAGGCAGGUUUGCCAAGGUUUGAUGAAGGUUGUCAGAGGACUUGACCAGGAUUAGCAGUGUCAAGUGUGGGACAGGGGAGGAAGUGAGCUGGCUACAGGUUUCCAGGCCUGGGAAGUGCUCCCUGUUUGCACGGUUAGACUCUCACUGUGGAGCCAAGUGUUCCUGCGGUGCUUAGGCAAGCAUCCACUUUUUUUGGCUACCUCAUCUGGGGAUGCCUGGCUCUCACCUAUGAUUCCUGGAGCACACACCCUACCUCAGUGAGGGGCCUUCAUGGGUUAGGUGUUCACCCCAACAGUGUCUCAUUCCCCUGACUUAGACAACAACAGCUAUUUGUAGGUCUUGGAAAACAGGAUUGGUGGUGCUGGAAGACUCAGGCGGGAGGGCAGGAUUUCUGUUGGCCGCCCUGUACCUCUGGAGCUGGGCAACCCAGGUAUCUGUUGGUUCUUCGCUGACUUUUCCAAGGCUUUCCCUUCUCUCUGCCACAUGCUUAGCUCCUAUUUAGCUAGGGGCCACAGGCAAAGCAAUAUGUGCCUUUGGCCUCAGUUUCCUCAUCUGUAAAAUGGGAGGCAGUUCAUUCAUCUCUCAGACUCCAGCUAGGACAUCCUUCCUUUGUUGAAGCCGAGAAGGCUUACAGUUAAGAAUUUCUUUGUAAAGGCUCUUGGGAUUAUCUCUGAUAUUUUCAUUUUCUUAAAUUUGAGGAUUUCUGAAGACUUUGAAAUAAAAUCUUGGGGAAUGUCGAGUUUACUGAACACCAAAUUAUUGAUAGUAUAUUGGGGCUGAUGAAUGGUCUUAAGUGACCUCUUUGUGUUUUUGUACAACCUCUGUACACUGAGAAAUUAAUGUCACCUUUAAGGACUGUGGUGAGAGGGAGGGGGUCCGUGUCAUUUGUGCACCUGUUUCCCAAAGAUAUUGAUGGGUGAGCAAUGGUUUUGUGCAAGGAGGCAGAGGUUCCAUUCUGUGGCCUCGGAAGGUCUUAGCAGCACAGAUUCUGUGUUCAGUGCACACAGCUCACCGAUGCCUGACUCCUGGAGUGUGAUACCAGGAACCAGAGCAGGAGAAAGGACAGGAGAGGGAACGGGGAAGGGGGCAUGAAGGAGGAGACAGAAAGGAGAGUAAAAGAGAAAACCACACUGUCGUGAAAAGUUAAAAACCUUCCUUUCAACUUUCCCUUAUAAUUAGCUGCUGCAGCUGGAGGGAAAGGACUCUUGGUGAGUUGCAACUUGUUGGGCAGCAUCCCCAGGACGUGUUUGACCGGCUCAGGGUUGGGGGAAAUCUCAGUUCUGAUGGCCCUUCCUCCCUCCCUGUCUUCUUAUUUUAAUUCCCUGUCUGGGAGGUGCUUGUGAAAGGUUUAAAAUGUUUUAGUGUCCUCAGCCAAAAACCCUUCUCUUUGGGACUGGCCUGGAGAUGUUGGAAAGGGCUUGGCUGAAGCAGGCUGCUCUCCACUGGUGGCUCAGGACUCAGCUUGGAAGGCCUUAGGAGGACCAGUGGGGGAGGUAUGGAAGGAAGAAGGGGCAAGUGCAAUCUGGUUGAUCCCAUCAAGGCAGGAGCCUUUUAGGAUCCCAGAAUUGUCUUGUGGACAGCUGCUUUCUCUUGCUUUGCAGAGGCCUUGAUUAUCUAGGAGGGCAAUUGCCUUGCACAGUGGAUCCCCAGAGCAGUGUACCGGCAUGGCCUGGAGGGAAAAGCAGGGCCUGAUUUUCUGCUUGCUACCUGAAGCAAGUUACUUCAUUUCUCUAGGUCUUAAUUUACUCAUCUGGAAAAUGAGUAUAAUGAUAAUAUUAUUUCCUUCAGAGGGCUUCUUAGCAUAGCCCCUGGUAGGCUUGUAUCUGCUGAGCAUAGGUAUAAGCUUCUGCUGUUAUUGCUAUUGUACAUAGACUUCAUUUGUGGUCAGGCCACAUCUGCCUUCCUGCACCACCCAGAGCUGGACUGCAGCAGGAAGGGCUGAGAUUCUGUGCCAGUGAGAAUGUCUAUCUGUAAGCAGUUGGCAGAGCUCCUGGAGAUGGAGGCACUGCCUUAUAUUGAAGCAGAGUGGGGCUAUUGAGGAGGCUGCCUGAAGUCGGCUGCAUAUGGAAUAGAGGGUCCUUUGGGUGCUCGGGCAGGCCCUGUCCCUGACUCCAUAAUUUAUCUUUUCCAGUUUAUCCAAUCAGCCACAGAAGUGUCCUCAUCCUCACUCCUCGGCAUUGUCAGUCAGGUGGAUUAUUUUAUUGAAGUCCUGACACCAACCAAGAAAAUUGCUAAAUUACAGAUGGAGACAUUGUGUAGUGGAGAAGGAAAGACCAGACUAUGAUUGCCUUUCUGAGACCUGGUAGGACUAUGCAAGUGCCUGUGGAGGUGAAGUCUGUCUUGUACCAGCAGUAGUCCCCUUGUUUUAACCUAUCAGAGAGCCCAAUAAUCACAGGAUUCUUCAGAGAUUCUUCAGGAUUCUUCAUGUCCUUGAUGCCAUGCACAGACCUGCCUGUGACCAUAAACUCAAUAAGAGCUGAGACUGUGCCUUAUUUAUCUAGCACCUACACUGCCUUACGCAAGUCAACACUUAAUAAAUGUUUUUGAAAUGAAAUUGGUCAUCAUAAUAAUAGUGAACAUUUAUUUUAUUUUAUUUUAUUUUUUUGGUACUGGGGAUCGAACUAGGGACCUUACGCUUGCGAGGCAGGUGCCAGAACCACUGAGCUAAAUCUCCAGCCCCUUGAACAUUUAUUAAUUGCUCUCUGUAUGCCUGUCAUAUAGAACACACCCCAUGCCUUUAGCUGUCCCCAUGACCAUCUCAUUUGACAGAUGGGGAAACUGAGGCCUGAGGAGGUGAAACUGAUUUUCUUAGUGAUACAAACAGCAAGUGAUAGAGUUUUGAAGAGAAGAACAACUUCUGCCUUCACAUCCUGGGCCUUGUCUUUUAUACAGGUUGUUGGUAGCAAGCCCCUUACCAGAGCCUCUUUCUUUUCCUUCCUUUCAGCCUCCCCAAGGUUCCCAGUGGUGCUACUUUCCCCCCUGCUCCUUUCCCUGUCCUUUUUCUGAAGGGAGGAAAAAGUUUGCAGAACUUUUAUGUUGGAGCAGGGCCACCUGGGUCAUCAGAAAGAAGGGAAUGGAAUUAAUAGGAGAAAAUGAAGACAUGGAAACAAAGUCUUUGUAAAUAGGGAGGGGUGGAGGGGUUGAAGGGAAGGCAGGGGAAGGGUGAAAAAUAAGAAGCAAGAGAGAAUAU
rnacentral:lncRNA from 1 species